rnacentral:ncRNA from 2 species
CACAGUUUGUUAACAUGUUUCAAUAUAACGCCGGCGAUAUGGGCCGGCAGUCUCUACCGGGCAAGCCGUAAACCGUCCCGACUAUUGAAACAGCACGCCGCAGC